CCUACGGGUGGCAGCAGUGGGGAAUAUUGGACAAUGGGCGAAAGCCUGAUCCAGCCAUGCCGCGUGUGUGAAGAAGGCCUUCGGGUUGUAAAGCACUUUCAGUGGGGAAGAAAGCCUUGGGGCUAAUACCCUCGAGGAAGGACAUCACCCACAGAAGAAGCACCGGCUAACUCCGUGCCAGCAGCCGCGGUAAUACGGAGGGUGCGAGCGUUAAUCGGAAUUACUGGGCGUAAAGCGCGCGUAGGUGGUCUGAUAAGCCGGUUGUGAAAGCCCCGGGCUCAACCUGGGAACGGCAUCCGGAACUGUCAGGCUAGAGUGCAGGAGAGGAAGGUAGAAUUCCCGGUGUAGCGGUGAAAUGCGUAGAGAUCGGGAGGAAUACCAGUGGCGAAGGCGGUCUUCUGGACUGACACUGACGCUGAGGUGCGAAAGCGUGGGUAGCAAACAGGAUUAGAUACCCUAGUAGUC
rnacentral:rRNA from 1 species